GACGAACGCUGGCGGCGUGCUUAACACAUGCAAGUCGAACGGAAAGGCCCUGCUUUUGUGGGGUGCUCGAGUGGCGAACGGGUGAGUAACACGUGAGUAACCUGCCCUUGACUUUGGGAUAACUUCAGGAAGCUGGGGCUAAUACCGGAUAGGAGCUCCUGCUGCAUGGUGGGGGUUGGAAAGUUUCGGCGGUUGGGGAUGGACUCGCGGCUUAUCAGCUUGUUGGUGGGGUAGUGGCUUACCAAGGCUUUGACGGGUAGCCGGCCUGAGAGGGUGACCGGCCACAUUGGGACUGAGAUACGGCCCAGACUCCUACGGGCGGCAGCAGUGGGGAAUAUUGCACAAUGGGCGGAAGCCUGAUGCAGCAACGCCGCGUGCGGGAUGACGGCCUUCGGGUUGUAAACCGCUUUCGCCUGUGACGAAGCGUGAGUGACGGUAAUGGGUAAAGAAGCACCGGCUAACUACGUG
rnacentral:rRNA from 1 species